UUUAUGGAGAGUUUGAUCCUGGCUCAGGAUGAACGCUGGCGGCGUGCCUAAUACAUGCAAGUCGAGCGAACGGACGAGAAGCUUGCUUCUCUGAUGUUAGCGGCGGACGGGUGAGUAACACGUGGAUAACCUACCUAUAAGACUGGGAUAACUUCGGGAAACCGGAGCUAAUACCGGAUAAUAUUUUGAACCGCAUGGUUCAAAAGUAAAAGACGGUCUUGCUGUCACUUAUAGAUGGAUCCGCGCUGCAUUAGCUAGUUGGUAAGGUAACAGCUUACCAAGGCAACGAUGCAUAGCCGACCUGAGAGGGUGAUCGGCCACACUGGAACUGAGACACGGUCCAGACUCCUACGGGAGGCAGCAGUAGGGAAUCUUCCGCAAUGGGCGAAAGCCUGACGGAGCAACGCCGCGUGAGUGAUGAAGGUCUUCGGAUCGUAAA
rnacentral:rRNA from 1 species